rnacentral:rRNA from 1 species
AGAGAUGUGUGAUGACGCAUAUCAAUAAGCGGAGGAAAAGAAACUAACUAGGAUUCCCUUAGUAACGGCGAGUGAAGCGGGAAGAGCUCAAAUUUGAAAUCUUCAAGGUUCUACCUUGACGAAUUGUAGUUUAAAGAAGUGUUUUCUGUUGGAGUUUUGGUAAAAGUUCUUUGGAAUAGGACAUCAUAGAGGGUGAGAAUCCCAGUAUUUGACCAGUUAUCUUCCAGCUGUGUGAUACACUUUCAACGAGUCGGAUUGUUUGGGAAUGCAGUCCAAAAUGGGUGGUAAAUUUCAUCUAAAGCUAAAUAUUGGCGAGAGACCGAUAGCGAACAAGUACCGUGAGGGAAAGAUGAAAAGAACUUUGAAAAGAGAGUUAAACAGUACGUGAAAUUGUCAAAAGGGAAGCGUUUGACACCAGUGUUGUUUUUCCGAAAAUCAAUUACGAAUGUUUUGUUUUUGAGGAGUUAUGACUUCAUCGGCUUGCUUCUCUCUUUACGAAACUUUCUUAAUGCACUUUUCGGUUAACAAGUCAACAUCAAUUUCUUUUGUUGUAAAAGGGUAUGAGGAAGGUGGCUUUCUUUUCGGAGAAAGUGUUUAUAGCCUUGUGCCUCUGCAAUCGGAGAGAUUGAGGUCUGCAGCGUAGAUCCUUCGGGGUUAGAUACAUUUGUGCUAAGUUAUAGCCUUUCAUAGACAACUUGUUGACUAUGAUCAGUCAUGUAGCUUACUCGCUUAUGUCAUUUUACCUACGCUUAGGAUGUUGACAGCAGUAUAGACUGU